rnacentral:sRNA from 1 species
AAGGAGAAGCAUUGGGGAGUAUACAGAUUCAUCUGAAAAAAGCGCUGUAUUUGCGACCGUUUCGGGCAUUAUCGACCUACCCGACAGGGAGCUAGUACGAUUUCGACGAAACAAAGU